GAGAGAGCUAGCAGUGCAUGAAGUGUGAUUUUAAUAGUCGUGGAAGCAAAACAGCAAAAUUCAUGACGACAUUGAUCAAAUGUGAAGCGCAGUUUGCUGCUUCUUUUGCUGCUGGCUCCGUGAAUUUUGGUUGGAGAGACAAAACCUGCAGCUCAGAAUCAGCACAAAAAGACGUAAACACAGCGCGGACCGGACGCAUCAGGACCGCUGAGCUCCGACAGCGUGUCCGUCUGCGGGCCGGCGGGUGAGAAAGCCGAGAAAGACAAAGCUGAUUCUGAUGCGUCGGGUCUGUGUUUACGUCUUUGUGUGGAGUCCGUGUACCUGCUCUCAUUUGCUGUUUGGUUGUUGUUGAAAUGGUUUUGUGAGCUUUAAUCUGAGAAUCUGGCGUUUCUGGCAAAACACAGUUAUAUUUAAAAGUCAGGAUUUAAUGAAUUGAUAUCGCUUUAUUCAAGCUACUCACCUCCCACUUCCACCUGCACUUUCAACUGGACCACGGCCAAUCAGAGAGGUCCCGCCCCUGACUAUCUCUGAUUGGUUUAGUCCACGAUAGGGGCAAAAUGUGUGUCUGUUGUUGACCACAGGGAAGGUUGCAGAUUUUUUUAUUUUUUUUUUGCUACCCGAACAGUUGGUCGCACAGGUGCAACCAAAUAUUUUUUUUUAGUCGCACCAUUGGUCGCACUCUAGAGCCCUGAUUUAACUUUUGAUACUUAGAUAAACAAUUAUGAAGGAUGUCCAGAGAGACGUGGAGUUUGUCUUUCUUCUGUUUUCUCUCAGCGCGACGACAUUCACGCCUAAGGGCGCGAGUAGUAUCAUUUAGCCAGGGUUGUGAGGAUUUGGCACGUUUAACCCUCAGAGGGAAAAGAGCAAGCUCGUCCGCUGAUAAACCCCCGUUACAGCUAGCAUCAGAGAGGGGAGAGUCAAGGAAACCAUCAGUGAAGGGAGCGAUUGACUGGGAGUUAAUCGUGCGCGUUUGCCACACAGGACCAUCACUGUUCAAUUCCACAUUACUCACUACACUGUAAACCCGAAUAAGUUACCAGAACUCAAAAAAUUGAGGCAAUUGAUUGCCUCAAUUUUUUUGAGUUGAUUAACUCAAAAGUCAAAUUUUUCCAGAACAUAAAAGUUUGGAUUACAUGGCACUUGUAUCUUUUGAGAACAGUCAACUCAAAUAUUUGCAGUUAAU
ensembl:lncRNA